AGAAAUUGAGUACAUACAGGUGUCUGCUUUUGCAGAAGAAUAGGGAAGUUGAGUGAAAGUCUCACACGGUCACGCCGCUGUAACGGAUGAGUCUUAUUUCAUAUGUCACUGGAAACGGGAAGGCGAAGUAAGAUGUUAAGGCCCAAGUCAGAAGACCUGCCUGUCAUGUAAGCGAUUU
rfam:Blautia sp. An249 An249_contig_1, whole genome shotgun sequence.